rnacentral:sRNA from 1 species
AGCAGAAGGUGCAGUAUUCUAGUCACUCCACUUUAUUUGAAGACGGGGCUAAAAAUCCGUCAAAGGGCACAUCGAUGAAGUUCCUGGUGUGGGCUUAAGGCGCCCAGCUUUGGGCCUGUGCUGGGAGUAAAGGACGUAGGGCGAUCCGCAACGGCAUGUGGGCGAAGACCCUGCGUUCGUGGAGACAUUCGGUCUGUUUACCCGGUGGGGUAACUCCGACCUGAUGGAAAACCUACUUGCCAGUACUCUUUCUGAAGGAGAGCGAGUAGCGUAGCCUGCCUUGAGUGGAAAAGAGGGGAUGGAAGAGCGGAACCGGCGGUUGCUAGGCCAGCGCCGUCGGCGUGAAUCUUCCUGAAAUCAAUUCUGCAAAAGAGGAUAGAAUAAAGUCCCAGGAGUGUUUGAGGAAAUCUCCUAGACUGUCUGCAUCCCAGCAGCGACUAAGAAGGAUUAUGGUGCGGCCUGAGUGGCGUUCCAGUUCGGCGACUGGCAACAUCGUCGGUCGAGCUUUAAAAGGAAACUACCCGCAUGGCGACAUCGGGCAGCUCGACGGGAAAACCUACUGGACCUAAGCCGUAAUGUUUACUUCUUGGGCGACCUCCUGUUUUACAU